AGACGUCUACAUUAGAUACCCGUGUAGUCCCAGCCGUAAACUAUGCGCGUUAGGUGUAUCGGUGACCACGAGUUACCGAGGUGCCGAAGGGAAACCGUGAAACGUGCCGCCUGGGAAGUACGGUCGCAAGGCUGAACUUAAAGGAAUUGGCGGGGAGCACCACAACGGGUGGAGCCUGCGGUUUAAUUGGACUCAACGCCGGGAAGCUCACCGGAUAAGACAGCGGAAUGAUUGCCGGGCUGAAGACUCUGCAUGACUAGCUG
rnacentral:rRNA from 1 species